rnacentral:lncRNA from 1 species
GGGCCUGCUUGGCGCCUUCCUGGCCUUCAGCUGGCGGCGUCCUGACUCGACCCUCUCUCUCUCGCCUCUGUCCCCGGGUGACCGCGGGGAACGAAGGUGGGAGAGGAUGGGCAGGUCCUUAGACAGGUGCGACCUUCUUCGUGAUUAAAGUCCCCUUCAGCGUCUUUAUUGAAGGGUCUGUGAAGUCUGGCGUGGGGUCAACUACCUGCCUAUGGGAUGGGGGCGUGAAGUCGGCCACAGUGCCCUGGAGAUCCGCCCCACGCGGAUCGGGUGUGCUGUUCGGCGACUUGCUGCGGGAGACUAGGUCUCUUGUCACUGAAAAUGCUCAGGGGACUGUACAUAGACUUAUGCAAAGACAUUUAUUUGCUCCUUGGUUCCUUACUCUAGGCAGUCUCCUAGUGAACAGGAGCGACCAUCUACCCCCUAACUCUU